GUCUACGUUCAUAAACUGUAUUUAUUCUUAUUUGUAUAAUAGACUAUAAAAAUAAAUGAACACAUCAUUUUCAACAAUACGCGUCGUUAUAUCAUAGAUUAACGAGCGUUUAAUAAAACUAAAACAAAUAACGUUCGACUUUGACGCACACAAUACAAAAUAGCUCUUGAUAUACGUAAGCCGUAUAUUUUAUUAUAAUAUAUACAGUAUUAAAUCUGCUGGUAUUCGAUUUAAUGCGGUGUCAAUGCGAUCUACUUAGAAAUAACUAAAUCAAAAUCACGCAUAAUAUAAUAUUUCAGGGUACACGGUUAUGUAUAAUACAAAAGGGCCGGCCAUUCAAAAUAAUACCAUGGAAACGGGUCAUGUGUUCGAAAAUCACCACGAGUUGGAAUUCAAUCCGUUUGAAAGAUCGUCUGUUCGAGAGAUAGAUGGGUAGGAUAGAAUAGUAUGAUCGAUCACGAUAAUGAUGUGAAUCGAUUUUUCGUAAUUGAAACAAAUUACUCGAUCGUAUAAAACCCAAAUAACAAUAAAUGUUACCGUUAAUGUCCGCAGUCGGUAAAUUAUGAACGACGACAAUCACUGGUGAAUGUCGCCGUACAUGGUGUAGGUAAUGGCUUCGGUAGCCAUUGGUGAAUGUUGACAUAUUGACGUAUUAAAUGUGCACUGUUUGAGAACAUUCACAAGUGAAUGUUAAUAUUAACAUGGCCGUAUUGACGGUUGUCGGUAAUACCGAUAUUGUUUUUUUUUUUUAAAUGGAAUCUCGGGAUAUAGAGAAUCAUAACAAUAAUAUAGUAUUAUUAAAAUAAUAUUACCAAGUGUUUAUAUAAUAUUAGUUACCGUGUAAAUUGACAAUUUCGGUAAAAUAAAAUAUAUAUAACAUUUUGUGUCCCCGAAAUAUUUUAGCUGUAGUUUUGUGGUAUAGUGGAUUGUGAUUUUUAUAAAUAAGCUAAUAAAUCACCAAAAAUGGUGUUAUUAAUCAAUCAUACACCAGACAUCAGCUCUCAGUGUGUAACGAAAAUUCAAUAUUAAUCGCUGAUGUAUUAGGGGAUCUCUAAAUUUCGUUAAGACAAUCGUCUGCAUCAAAUUUUACGACUGGUGGACAAGGGUAUGCGUUAUGCGAUUGCAAACCAAAAUGCACACAACAAAGUGUAGUUAAAGAAAUGUUAGCAUAUUAUGUAAUUGCCAAAAUGCCAUAACAGUUUCCCAUGUUUCAAUUAGUAGAACUGAUUUCUAUAGACGUAAUAGUGAAUAAUUUGUAUUUUGUUUACAAAANGAUGUAUUAGGGGAUCUCUAAAUUUCGUUAAGACAAUCGUCUGCAUCAAAUUUUACGACUGGUGGACAAAGGUGUACGUUAUGCGAUUGCAAACCAAAAUGCACACAACAAAGUGUGUAAUUAAAGAAAUGUUAGCAUAUUAUGUAAUUGUCAAAAUGCCAUAACAGUUUCCCAUGUUUCAAUUAGUAGAACUGAUUUCUAUAGACGUAAUAGUGAAUAAUUUGUAUUUUGUUUACAAAAUCAUUGUCCCCAUAUUUUUUUUAGAUAACAAUUUUUAUGAGAUUAAAUAAUCGGUACAUAAAUUGACAAUAGAAAUAUA
rnacentral:lncRNA from 1 species